rnacentral:rRNA from 1 species
UACAGAGGUCCCAAGCGUUGUUCGGAUUCACUGGGCGUAAAGGGUGCGUAGGUGGUGAGGUAAGUCGGAUGUGAAAGCUCGGAGCUCAACUCCGAAAUGGCAUUGGAAACUACCUUGCUCGAGGGUUGGAGGGGGGACUGGAAUACUUGGUGUAGCAGUGAAAUGCGUAGAUAUCAAGUGGAACACCAGUGGCGAAGGCGGUUGCCUGGAGCUUUGCUGACGCUGAGGCGCGAAAGCGUGGGGAGCAAACAGG